GAAUUGAUUGUUCUUGCUGAAAAUUCAGACUUGGAGCUGAAAAAUUGCAAUCUUGGUAGAAUUUGGUGAAUUCCUGCAGCAGUGACCCUUUGGAAUUGCUGCGAGUAGUGGAAUAAUCGAAGCUUUAGCUGAGUGCAACCUGAUUGAAACCUAAAUUAAGCAUUAGAGUUUUGAACUGCUGGUAGCUGCCAAGUGAAGUGAAUUCUCUGGUGCAGUCCUGCUGUCCGAGUUGUGAAGUAGGGCUGAAAUUGGUACUUCAAGUCGUCGAUGCGCUAAUUUCGGUAGAGACCGUUCUAGUUCCAUUGACACUCAGUCGUGAGAGAUAGUCGUCGACACAUCUCGAGAUAUCGAUCUUAGUUGAGUGACACCACUACAGGUGGGUGGUGCUAUCCGAAGUCUUUGAAUCACCUUUUAUGUCUAUGGUUUUCCAUUGAGCAUAUUACUUGUAUUCAUGCAUCAUAGGGUAGUGAUAUUAUGCAAGUGAUAUUUGAAUUUGUGAAUGCUUAUCAAUGUUGAGAAAAUGUGAACUUAGAAUGUGGACAUAGAACCCUAUGAAUGUAUGGACUAUAACAAUAGUGAACUUGGUGACAUUCUAACUAGAGAUUGAGUUAGCAUCAAGAAAUGAAUUUGUGAAACUAGCAUAAAGAACUAGUUAGAGUAAAGUGUGACAGUGUUCGUCAGUUGAAUCCUCUAAAGGGGGAUCAGAUCAUACUCACAUUUGUUUGGUUCAAGUGAGGUCGCUCCUCCUUGAACGAUGAGCUCCGGAGUAGUCAUCUUUACUGGACCAGGAGGUGCGUCUCCCCCAGUUGACAAUCCCGUCGGGUGCAGGUGCGUCUCCCCGAUAUUUGGGAUAGCGUCAGUGAGUAAUUGUUAACCAGAGGGUUAACCAAAAUGAAUUGGGUAAAUUCAGUGAAAGCAUGCAUACAUAUUUACAGUUUUCAUAUAUAUUGCUUUCUUUCAGCUUUGUACAGGCAUUGUAGUAGUUACAUAUAUAGU